rnacentral:rRNA from 2 species
CAACUUUUAACAACGGAUCUCUUGGUUCUCGCAUCGAUGAAGAACGUAGCAAAGUGCGAUAACUAGUGUGAAUUGCAUAUUCAGUGAAUCAUCGAGUCUUUGAACGCAACUUGCGCUCAUUGGUAUUCCAAUGAGCACGCCUGUUUCAGUAUCA